GGGGAACUGCCUGCAUGCAGUAAGGAGAGAGCCAGACACAAAAUCGAGCAUCAACAAAUCCAUCCCUGUUUCGGGUUAUAACCGUCCCUUCUCCUGAUUUUGUACCAGCCAAAAUAAAGAAAACCUGGGUGAUGAUUGGACCACUGGAUAACUUGAGAAAAGCAGCUGUGUAAUUUGUGGCCUCAUUCAAAGUCUAAUAGAAAAAAAAUGAUUAUAA